rnacentral:rRNA from 1 species
CCUACGGGAGGCAGCAGUGGGGAAUAUUGCACAAUGGGGGAAACCCUGAUGCAGCGACGCCGCGUGAGUGAAGAAGUAAUUCGUUAUGUAAAGCUCUAUCAGCAGGGAAGAAAAUGACGGUACCUGAGUAAGAAGCCCCGGCUAACUACGUGCCAGCAGCCGCGGUAAUACGUAGGGGGCAAGCGUUAUCCGGAUUUACUGGGUGUAAAGGGAGCGUAGACGGCAGUGCAAGUCUGGAGUGAAAGGCGGGGGCUCAACCCCCGGACUGCUCUGGAAACUGUACGGCUGGAGUGCAGGAGAGGUAAGUGGAAUUCCUAGUGUAGCGGUGAAAUGCGUAGAUAUUAGGAGGAACACCAGUGGCGAAGGCGGCUUACUGGACUGUAACUGACGUUGAGGCUCGAAAGCGUGGGGAGCAAACAGGAUUAGAUACCCCAGUAGUC